AUACCAUGGUGAGGGCAUCUCCUUAAUAAUUCUUUGAAUCGCUCCCAUGCUUCAUAAAGAGAUUCCUCAUCUUGUUAAUGAAAAGUGGUAAUCUCAUUUUGGAGUUU